rnacentral:lncRNA from 1 species
GCACGCUGACGUGCGAGCCCGGUAUCAGACGAGCUGCAGUGACAGAACUAUUUCUGAUGCCGAGUGGCCCGAGCUGAGCUGCUGGGGGAGCAGAGCAACAAUACAAACAGGAUAUUCAGUGUCAAGCCGCAGUGGCACCCUGAGGGACCCACCCAGAGGCAGGCACUUGAAUGCAGACUCUAUCCUCCAGCCAAGUUAGCUGAGGAAACUUGACAUAAUGGCAGGCUGUAAGCUCAGCUUGCACAGGGGCAAACAUGCGCAGUCACAUUUUGGAAGUGGAAACAAUCCGGAAUGGAAACGUCAGAUAUUCCUGAAGCACUGAACAAGUCUGGGAGAACAUUUGGUGGAGAGCACUGCCAUGAUUUGUACAGAAUUCCCGUCACAGGGGUGGCUUGACACAGCAGAAGCACUUCUAACUUUGGGAUAUUACUGCUACCACCUGACUGCCAAAUCUAAGGACCCCAGGUGAUGACCACUGCUGGUGACACAGGCUUCAGGGGUCUCAUUCCACGCUGCUCCUCAGAAAUGGACAUAAUCGGAGAAAACAGCACCAGAACUGAUCUCUUUCACCGCAUGAUGACGUAGAACAAAGCUCACGAUGUUGUGUGACCUCAAGGAAGAUCAGGUCAGGACUGACACAUUCUAUCAUUUUCCUUCCUGAUAUAACAUUUUCUUGGUGAAGCAUUUUUUUUCUC